rnacentral:rRNA from 1 species
GAUGAACGCUGGCGGCGUGCUUAACACAUGCAAGUCGAACGGUGAACGAGGGAGCUCGCUCCCUCCGGAUCAGUGGCGAACGGGUGAGUAACACGUGAGCAAUCUGCCCUGGACUCUGGGAUAAGCGUUGGAAACGACGUCUAAUACCGGAUACGAGACGCGAAGGCAUCUUCAGCGUCUGGAAAGAACUUCGGUCCAGGAUGAGCUCGCGGCCUAUCAGGUAGUUGGUGAGGUAACGGCUCACCAAGCCUACGACGGGUAGCCGGCCUGGGAGGGUGACCGGGCACACUGGGACUGGGACACGGCCCAGACUCCUACGGGAGGCAGCAGUGGGAAUAUUGCACAAUGGGCGCAAGCCUGAUGCAGCAACGCCGCGUGAGGGACGACGGCCCUCGGGUUGUAAACCUCUUUUAGCAGGGAAGAAGCGAAAGUGACGGUACCUGCAGAAAAAGCACCGGCUAACUACGUGCCAGCAGCCGCCGUAAAAC